rnacentral:rRNA from 1 species
GACGAACGCUGGCGGCGUGCUUAACACAUGCAAGUCGAACGAUGAAGUUCCUUCGGGAAUGGAUUAGUGGCGAACGGGUGAGAAACACGUGAGAAACCUGCCUUUCAUUUUGGGAUAACUCCGGGAAACCGGAGCUAACACCGAAUACUCCGUCUCGGCGGCAUCGCUGAGCCGGGAAAAAAUUUUGAUGAAAGAUGGUCUCGCGGCCUAUCAGCUAGUUGGUGAGGUAAUGGCUCACCAAGGCAACGACGGGUGGCCGGCCUGAGAGGGCGACCGGCCACACUGGGACUGAGACACGGCCCAGACUCCUACGGGAGGCAGCAGUGGGGAAUAUUGGGCAAUGGGCGCAAGCCUGACCCAGCGACGCCGCGUGAGGGAUGAAGGCCUUCGGGUUGUAAACCUCCUUCAGUAGGGAAGAAGCGAAAGUGACGGUACCUAAAGAAGAAGCACCGGCUAACUAUGUGCCAGCCGCCGCCGUAA